rnacentral:rRNA from 1 species
UACGGAGGGUGCAAGCGUUGUCCGGAUUUAUUGGGUUUAAAGGGUGCGUAGGCGGCCCCUGUAAGUCAGUGGUGAAAAUACUGCAGCUUAACUGUAGCAUUGCCCAUUUGAUACUGCAGGGGCUUAGUACAGAUGAGGUAGGCGGAAUUGAUGGUGUAGCGGUGAAAUGCAUAGAUACCAUCAAGAACACCGAUUUGCGAA